GGCCCCAUCGUCUAGCUGGCCUAGGACGCGGCCCUUUCACGGCUGAAACUCGGGUUCGAAUCCCGAUGGGGUCA
rnacentral:tRNA from 1 species